AUGGCGGCGAUUCCCCCAGACUCCUGGCAGCCGCCCAAUGUUUACUUGGAGACCAGCAUGGGGCUCAUUGUGCUGGAGCUGUACUGGAAGCAUGCACCAAAGACCUGCAAGAAUUUUGCUGAAUUGGCUCGGCAAGGCUACUACAACAGCACCAAGUUCCACAGAAUCAUCAAAGACUUCAUGAUCCAGGGAGGUGACCCAACAGGGACAGGUCGAGGUGGUGCAUCUAUCUAUGGCAAGCAGUUUGAAGACGAACUUCAUCCAGACCUGAAGUUCACCGGGGCUGGAAUUCUCGCCAUGGCCAAUGCAGGCCCAGACACCAAUGGCAGCCAGUUCUUCAUGACCCUUGCCCCCACCCAGUGGCUUGACGGCAAGCACACCAUUUUUGGCCGAGUGUGCCAGGGUAUAGGAAUGGUGAAUUGAGUGGGCAUGGUGGAGACAAACUCCCAGGACUGCCCUGUGGAUGAUGU